GGGCAGAGGUGCUCCUCAAAUCCCAGAUG
rnacentral:piRNA from 1 species